rnacentral:lncRNA from 1 species
UCUCUCUUGCUCUCUCUCUCUCUUCCCGUCUCUGUGGUUUGUAAGGUAGGUUGCAGUGUGUGUAUAUACACAACAUCAAGAGCAGGAAAAUGGACUCAUUAGGGAGGCAGGCAGUCAUUACCACUCACACUGUACUUCCAGGGAGACACCGAUUAUGAGAAGAGAAACUCAGCGCUGGGGAAGAAGUCACACUAAAAGAAGUAUUAAGAAUUGCCCUUUGAGACUCUGAAGACUGAAGAGUACCUGAUAAAUUGCACGUCCAUCUGUGCCCCAUAGCUGCACAGGUAUGUAUAUGAACCACCUAUAGUUAUGUAAAUCUA